GAUGAACGCUGGCGGCGUGCUUAACACAUGCAAGUCGAACGAGAAGUGGAGACGGAAACCUUCGGGCGGAAGACUUUAUUUCGAGUGGCGGACGGGUGAGUAACGCGUGGGUAACCUGCCUCAUACAGGGGGAUAACAGUUGGAAACGACUGUUAAUACCGCAUAAGACCACAGCACCGCAUGGUGCGGGGGUAAAAACUCCGGUGGUAUGAGAUGGACCCGCGUUCGAUUAGCCAGUUGGCGGGGUAACGGCCCACCAAAGCGACGAUCGAUAGCCGAUCUGAGAGGAUGACCGGCCACAUUGGAACUGAGACACGGCCCAAACUCCUACGGGAGGCAGCAGUGGGGAAUAUUGCACAAUGGGGGAAACCCUGAUGCAGCGACGCCGCGUGAGUGAAGAAGUAUUUCGGUAUGUAAAGCUCUAUCAGCAGGGAAGAAAAUGACGGUACCUGAGUAAGAAGCCCCGGCUAACUACGUG
rnacentral:rRNA from 1 species